rnacentral:misc_RNA from 1 species
AAAAGACGGCCAGUUGGGUACGCGAGCGCCUGAGUUGUUUUGGACCUGUGACUGCUUGGAGGCCCCCCGUUGUUGUGCGGCUGACUCCCGGCACAAGGUUCGCUUCAUUCAUGUGGGCACUUUAUUGCCUACUUCGUUGACAAGUGCUUGCAUGGUGCUACCCGUUCUGUCGGAAGUUGCCUUUGCUAAAUGUUGCCUACGUUGAGAGCACCCAUCGGGUGUGGCUCGUCGGCUCAAGAGCGCUUGUGGGGUUGCCUCGUGUUGUCGCUCACCAAGGUCGGCAACACCAAGGACACUUUGCUUGUGCUGUUGGUCCAGGAUGUGGUUGAUGUUGAAGGCUGGUGGCGUGGCCCCCCUGCCUAGAAAACUUGUCCUUUCGGAAAAAACGACAGUCGGCACGGCUGAUGCCUUGCUGAGGCUGGUGUCGACUUGUCGAUGA